AAUAGAUACCCCGGUAGUCCAUGCCGUAAACGAUGUCUACUAGCCGUUGGGGCCCUUGAGGCUUUAGUGGCGCAGCUAACGCGAUAAGUAGACCGCCUGGGGAGUACGGUCGCAAGACUAAAACUCAAAUGAAUUGACGGGGGCCCGCACAAGCGGUGGAGCAUGUGGUUUAAUUCGAUGCAACGCGAAGAACCUUACCUGGCCUUGACAUACAGAGAACUUUCCAGAGAUGGAUUGGUGCCUUCGGGAACUCUGAUACAGGUGCUGCACGGCUGUCGUCAGCUCGUGUCGUGAGAUGUUGGGUUAAGUCCCGCAACGAGCGCAACCCUUUUCCUUAUUUGCCAGCACUUCGGGUGGGAACUUUAAGGAUACUGCCAGUGACAAACGUGGAGGAAGGCGGGGACGACGUCAAGUCAUCAUGGCCCUUACGGCCAGGGCUACACACGUGCUACAAUGGUCGGUACAAAGGGUUGCUACUGCGCGAGCAGAUGCUAAUCUCAAAAAGCCGAUCGUAGUCCGGAUCGCAGUCUG
rnacentral:rRNA from 1 species